rnacentral:lncRNA from 1 species
CGGCGAAAGCAAACCAUGCGAUUAUCUGAGGACAGCGCCCAGCACACAAAUGCAUAACAAAUCAUUUUCAACCAGGGAGUUGCGACACGAAAGUCAGAAAUAGUAAUAUAAUAUAUGCCUUACCUUUGAAGAUCUUCUUCUGUUGGCACUCCAAAAGGUCCAAGUUACAUUACAAAUGGUCUUUUUGUUCAAUAAAGUCCUUCUUUAUAUCCAUAAAAACUCAGUUUAGCUGGUGAGCUUCAGUCAAUAAUCCACUCGGUUUCCCUCCUUCAAAAUGCAUACAAAAUGAAUCCCAAACGUUACCAAUAAACUUAUCCAAACAAGUCAAUCAAGGUUUAUAAUCAAUCCUUAGGUACCCUAAUAUGCAAAUAAACAAUACAAUUUAAGACGGAGAAUCGUUAUUGUCUUUACCGGAGAUAAACAAAAAGAAUGCGCUCUCUCGGCCAUGCGUUUGGAAACACUACAGCCAAAAUGGGAGCCACUUAGAAAAACUACAACUUCUCCCUCAUUUUUCCAAAAAACAGCCUGAAACUCUUUCUCAAGACUGUUGACAUCUAGUGGAAGCCCUAGGAACUGCAAUCGGGGACGAUUUCGCCCUAUUAUUAAAGUGCCAAUAUUUUUUUGUUGUUGAUUGUUUAUACUCAGGGUUUCGCCUGCCAUUUCAGUUCUGUUAUACUCACAGACAUUAUUUUAACAAUUUUAGAAACUUGAGAAUGUUUCUAUCCAAAUCUACCAAUUAUAUGCAUAUCCUAGCUUCUGGGCCUGAGUAGCAGGCAGUUUACUUUGGGCACGCUUUUCACCCAGACGUCAAAAUAUCGCUUAAGUGCAGACCUCAGGACCUCGGUUAAGACAGAAUGCGGCCUGCUGGGCAACAUGAGUUUAACACCCUUGAACUAGAUGUACAACAAAGCAGGAAAGCUCAAGGAACGGACAUGGUAUGUUAGGAAAGGUCAUGGUAUGUUAGGAACGGUCAUGAUAUGUUAGGAACGGUCAUGGUAUGUUAGGAACGGUCAUGGUAUGUUAGGAACGUCAAGAUAUGUUAGGAACGGACAUGGUAUGUUAGGAACGGUCAUGGUAUGUUAGGAACGGUCAUGGUAUGUUAGGAACGUCAAGAUAUGUUAGAACGGUCGUGGUAUGUUAGGAACGGUCAUGGUAUGUUAGGAACGGUCAUGGUAUGUUAGGAACGGUCAUGGUAUGUUAGGAACGGUCAUGGUAUGUUAGGAACGGUCAUGGUAUGUUAGGAACGGUCAUGGUAUGUUAGGAACGGGCAUGAUAUGUUAGGAACGGUCAUGAAAUGUUAGGAACGGUCAUGAUAUGUUAGGAACGGACAUGGUAUGUUAGGAACGGUCAUGAAAUGUUAGGAACGGUCAUGGUAUGUUAGGAACGGUCAUGGUAUGUUAGGAACGGUCAUGGUAUGUUAGGAACGGUCAUGGUAUGUUAGGAACGGACAUGGUAUGUUAGGAACGGUCAUGGUAUGUUAGGAACGGACAUGGUAUGUUAGGAACGGACAUGGUAUGUUAGGAACGGUCAUGGUAUGUUAGGAACGGUCAUGGUAUGUUAGGAACGGUCAUGGUAUGUUAGGAACGGACAUGAUAUGUUAGGAACGGACAUGGUAUGUUAGGAACGGACAUGGUAUGUUAGGAACGGUCAUGGUAUGUUAGGAACGGUCAUGGUAUGUUAGGUCAUGGUAUGUUAGGAACGGUCAUGGUAUGUUAGGAACGGUCAUGGUAUGUUAGGAACGGACAUGGUAUGUUAGGAACGGUCAUGGUAUGUUAGGAACGGUCAUGGUAUGAUAGGUCAUCAUAUGUUUCACCUUGCAGUAUAUUUAGUAUGCUUUGUGCAUACUGGCCAGUGUUGAACAGGGCUGACACGCACGCACGCACACACACACACACACACACACACGCCAAAGCAUGCGCACACACACAAACACACGCACACACAGAUGCGUGCCAAAGCAUACAGUAUAUACACACAGGAAAACACACACACACAGGAACAAACACACACUGCCGCCAACUCGUGAAUUCAUGAUGAGUCAGCCACCCUGAGCUAAACUUCACUGGCAGGGCUUGAAACAAUGUCACCAGGAUAAGCCUGUCAGUUUAAAGUUAGACUCCACACUUUUAAAAAAAAAACAUGUGAAAAUCGUAUUUGUUUAAUCAAUUUUCCUGAUUUUGCUAAUUGUUACUUUGGACAAAAUCAAAAUGGCAAUGUUAUUGUAAUGCUUUUUGUAAAAAAAAAAAUAUCUAUAUUAAAUUGAAGAUUAAUUUGAAUAAGUUAUAAAUUCGUGAUUAAUCGUGAUUAAAAAAUCCAGCGAUUAACAAGAUAUUUUGUGUUAUUUUUAUAAUUUGACAGCCGUAGAUAUGAAAAUACACUUGUGAUAGUGUAGCCAGUGGCGGAUUUAGGCGACAUGGGCAGCCGCCCAGGGCGGCAUUCUGCUGGGGUCAGCAUGGGGCACCCACACAAAACAAUAAUACAAAUCCGAAUGGUGACAUUUGCACAUCACGUCAAUGAUAUCAUGUCACCGUGUGGGACUGUGGGUCAAUUAACCUUGUCGGAGUGGGCGCCCUAAUUCUAGUUUGUGAGCUAGGCAGGCUACUGCCUGGGAAGGUCUCCCACUCAGAAGUGCAGUUAGUAAUGCAAUUAGUAAUGCAAUUAGUUGUGCAAUUAGUAAUGCAAUUAGUUGUGCAAUUAGUUGUGCAAUUAGUAAUGCAAUUAGUUGUGCAAUUAGUUGUGCAAUUAGUAAUGCAAUUAGUAAUGCAACUAGUAAUGCAAUUAGUUGUGCAAUUAGUUGUGCAAUUAGUAAUGCAAUUAGUUGUGCAAUUAGUAAUGCAAUUAGUAAUGCAACUAGUAAUGCAAUUAGUUGUGCAAUUUAGUUUGUGUGUUUCUUGUUUGAAGUGCAACAGUGUAAUAAUCAGGUUCACUUCAUUAUAAGUGUGUUAUUAUAUUUCUGUAUUUGUGUGACAUAAGAUUUGUUCAAUUUAUUUUUUUUUGUGUUUUUUUUGUUAGCAAUAGGGUAAUAGUGUAAUAAUUGUAUUCUUUUUUUUAUUUGUAUUUAUAUACUUUAAUUUGUUUCUAUUUGUCUUUGUUACUUCUUUUUGAUAUUUAUGAGUCUUAUCUUUGUAAAUAUAUUUCUAUUUAUAUAGUUUUAAAUGUUAUAAUUAUUU